AGAGCUAGUUGAAUGAUUGCUCUAACAUAAUAUUAAUAGUUAUGUUUAGAGAGGAAAGUCCGAGCACCGUAGGACAUGGUGCCCUGUAACGCAGGGAAUCCGUAAGGAUAUGGAAAGUGCAACAGAAAAUAAACCGCCUAAUUAAAAUUAGGUAAGGGUGAAAAGGUGGUGUAAGAGACCACCAGUCUUUCUUUAAAUAGAUUGAGCUUGUAAACCCCUCCUGGUGCAAGGCUAAAUAGGUUCAGAGAUGUUGUCCGCAUCAAUUGAUGAACGGGUUGGUCGCUUCAGCUUAGUGGCAACAUUAAGCGCAGAUAAAUAAUCAUUAAACUCAUUGAGUGAACAAGACUCGGCUUAUAGACUAGCUCAAAAU
rnacentral:RNase_P_RNA from 2 species